rnacentral:lncRNA from 1 species
GAAAAUCAAAAGCCUUUAAACCUACUUAUCAAACCUUUUAUCUUAUAAACUGAAAACGCCAAUCUAAACCUUUUAUUUCUCUUUCUGAAAACGAAUAUUCAGGCUCAGUUUAAAUAUAUGUUGAAGCCCAUGAAAUCAUAUUCACAUCCAGGAAUAAGAUUAGUCAAUUAUAAAGUUAGAUGCGAAUAUUUAUUAAUUUUAAAACUCAGAGGAGCUUUCGAUAAAUUAGAGA